rnacentral:rRNA from 1 species
GUGGGGAAUAUUGGACAAUGGGGGGAACCCUGAUCCAGCCAUGCCGCGUGUGUGAAGAAGGCCUUUUGGUUGUAAAGCACUUUAAGCGAGGAGGAGGCUACCGAGAUUAAUACUCUUGGAUAGUGGACGUUACUCGCAGAAUAAGCACCGGCUAACUCUGUGCCAGCAGCCGCGGUAAUACAGAGGGUGCAAGCGUUAAUCGGAUUUACUGGGCGUAAAGCGCGCGUAGGUGGCCAAUUAAGUCAAAUGUGAAAUCCCCGAGCUUAACUUGGGAAUUGCAUUCGAUACUGGUUAGCUAGAGUAUGGGAGAGGAUGGUAGAAUUCCAGGUGUAGCGGUGAAAUGCGUAGAGAUCUGGAGGAAUACCGAUGGCGAAGGCAGCCAUCUGGCCUAAUACUGACACUGAGGUGCGAAAGCAUGGGGAGCAAACAGGAUUAGAUACCCUUGUAGUCC